UAUGUUUUGAAAUAUGCUCUGCAUACUUAUUUAAGCAAUGACAUAUAGUACUGAUUAUUGAACUACUGUGGGGCUUGAAAAAAGUCUAUUUAAGGGAUUCGGAGAUGAGAACAGUAAAAAAAAGCUCAUCAACGAAUCCUAAAUGUAAAAUGAUUUGCGGCAUAAUACAUGAGAGCAUAUUAUAGAUAGUAUUAAAUAUGAAGUUCACGCCUCAUACAGUGAAGUCCUAUGUCAUAGGACUAUUGUUGUAACAUGGGUUAGCAAC
rnacentral:lncRNA from 1 species